GACGAACGCUGGCGGCGUGCUUAACACAUGCAAGUCGAACGAAGUGGCGAACGGGUGAGUAACGCGUAAUCAACCUGCCCUUCAGGGGGGGACACCAGUUGGAAACGACUGCUAAUACCGCAUACGGAAGGGGGGCAGUGCGUGUGAUACGCACGUAGGAGGGGUAACGGCCCACCAAGGCGAUAGUAAGUAGCCGGUCUGAGAGGUGGAACGGGCAAAUUGGGACUGAGACACGGCCCAUACUCCUACGGGAGUCAGCAGUGGGGAAUCUUCCGCAAGGGACGAAAGCCUGACGGAGCAACGCCGGGUGAGUGAUGACGGCCUUCGGGUGGUAAAGCUCUGUUAAUCGGGACGCGGUACCGGAAUAGAAAGCCACGGCUAACUCCGUGCCAGCCGCCGCGGUAAUAC
rnacentral:rRNA from 1 species